ACAACAAAAGACAAAAGCCCCAUUCUUACACCAUCUUACCUCCAUCUCUUUCUCCCUCUCUCUCACUACCGAUUUCCUCUUCUUCCCCAUUCUUCUCUCUUCUUUUUUUUUUCUUUGAAAUCCGUCGCCCUCUCUUCUUCCUCCGUCGGAGUCGCCGCCGAAGUAAAGGGGUCUGCUGCCGCUAGCCGCUGCCAACUCAUCGAUCCUCACGCCGCAACCUUCGUCGCUGGGAGCCGGAGUUGCCGUCGCAGCUGCUCGCCAGCCGCCGUUGCGGCGAGAAGGAAGGUCAGUGGCCGCUCGCCGCUGCCCGCUGCCGGGAGACGCCGCCCGACUGCUGCCGGUACCUUCCCUCUCCGGAAACACCCCGAACAAGCCCGCAACCACCCCGAAACGUCCCGCAAGACACGUUUUUACUACAAAGUUGUGUUCUUUCGUGCUUUCGAUUAAAAGCGGCGAUGUUCGAUUGAUUUCAAAAAAUUGAAUUGUUUGAACUAAACGUGGGAGGUGGAUGUAUGAGAUAAUGUAUGGACAAGAUGUUAAGACUUCAUGCCUUGGAAAAGAGUAGAGAUUAUACCUCAGUGAUUUCGAACUUGGUUGUGGUUGAAUCAAAAUGAAUUAAGUGAGGAGAUGGAAGGUGAAGAAGUGGGGAAAAUGGGGAGUCUCCAUGGGGAAGGUAACCGGCCGAGAAGAAGAGAAGAGAAGAGAAGAGAAGAGAAAAAGGAAAAAAAAAAUGUUGGGCUUACUCCCAUAUUCUUGGAAUGACUUGGGCUUCCAAUUGAAUUUAUUUGAUUUGGGCUUAGCUGCAAGCCCAAUUUGUAUUAUUUAAUUAUUUGUUAGUCUUUAGAUUGCUAU